CAAUAGCGUAUAUUUAAGUUGUUGCAGUUAAAAAGCUCGUAGUUGGAUUUCGGGUUGGCUUCAGCGGUCUCGCUUUGCGUUUGUACUGCUGCAGCCUACCUUCUUGUCGGGGACGGGCCUUCGGGCUUAAUUGCUUGGGGCCCGGAGUCGACGAUGUUACUUUGAGUAAAUUAGAGUGUUCAAAGCAAGCCUACGCUCUGAAUAUAAUAGCAUGGGAUAACACGACAGGACUCUGGCCUAUCGUGUUGGUCUGUAGGACCAGAGUAAUGAUUAAGAGGGACAGUCGGGGGCAUUCGUAUUCCGUUGUCAGAGGUGAAAUUCUUGGAUUUACGGAAGACGAACACCUGCGAAAGCAUUUGCCAAGGAUGUUUUCAUUGA
rnacentral:rRNA from 1 species